rnacentral:rRNA from 1 species
UGGGGAAUUUUGGACAAUGGGCGCAAGCCUGACCCAGCAACGCCGCGUGAAGGAUGAAGUAUUUCGGUAUGUAAACUUCGAAAGAAUAGGAAGAAUUAAUGACGGUACUAUUUAUAAGGUCCGGCUAACUACGUGCCAGCAGCCGCGGUAAUACGUAGGGACCAAGCGUUGUUCGGAUUUACUGGGCGUAAAGGGCGCGUAGGCGGCAAUUCAAGUCAGCUGUGAAAUCUCUGGGCUUAACCCGGAACGGCCAGCUGAUACUGCUUUGCUAGAGUGCGGAAGGGGCAAUCGGAAUUCUUGGUGUAGCGGUAAAAUGCGUAGAUAUCAAGAGGAACACCUGAGGUGAAGACGGGUUGCUGGGCCGACACUGACGCUGAGGCGCGAAAGCCAGGGGAGCAAACG